UCCAUUUUUGGUAUGGUUAUUAUGGAAACACUACAUUUUACAUGGAAUUAGCUAAAUCAUUUGUGCUUUCGAUAGAAAAAUUGUUGUCAAAGUUGUGUACUAAAGAUUGUUUCAAUUUUUCAAGAAUGCAAGAUUGUUUCAAUUUUGAACUGUCAUCUACUUGAAACAAAUACAGUAAAAGACUCCAAGUUUGUAAUGCAAGAGAGCAGAAAAACAAAUGAGAU
rnacentral:lncRNA from 1 species